rnacentral:misc_RNA from 1 species
UCUAUGAUACUUUAUUUGAGAUCUUCACUGCUUGCCACUGAAAAUGCUACUACCUGUCUCCAGAGGCUAUUGAAUUUUCCAGAGAAUAUAGAUCUGAGAAAACUUGUAGAUAAGGCAAAAUCUUUACAGGCUCUUGCAUUGGGGCCUAGUACCUCUUUCUUCUCUCCUCGUUUUGGUGAGGCUUAUAACCAUAAUAAGUCAAUGGUGGUGAGAAGUCAUACUCUUUCAUGUGAUUCUGUUUCUCCAAAAACUCCUCUAAACAUGGUGCCUGAAAGCUAUUGGGAAGAAAAGUGGAGAGUUAUGCACAAAGCAGAAGAACUCAAGGAUGGUAGUUCAGGGAAGCAAAAUCCAACCUCCAAAAAAGGAUGGACAGAAAAAGUAAGAUUGACUCUAUCUAGAACAGCAUCUGACC